GAGGAUUUUUGGGUCAUGACUUUGAGAAAAGAAGAAGAGAAUGAAAAUAACUUGUGGAAAGGGAGCCGUCGUAGAAAUCAAAAGACGAGUUUCAGAUUGCAUCGAUUGGAAGGUCAACAGAAAGGAAAGGCUCAAGUCCUAGAGUGAUUAUUCGAUUGGCUAAGGUUAUGAGCCUGGAUUUUUGUUGUACUUGUCAUUCUCUUCUUUUCCGAGGCUUCUUGGA